GACGAACGCUGGCGGCGUGCUUAACACAUGCAAGUCGAACGGAAAGGCCCUGCUUUUGUGGGGUGCUCGAGUGGCGAACGGGUGAGUAACACGUGAGUAACCUGCCCUUGACUUUGGGAUAACUUCAGGAAACUGGGGCUAAUACCGGAUAGGUGCUCCUGCUGCAUGGUGGGGGUUGGAAAGUUUCGGCGGUUGGGGAUGGACUCGCGGCUUAUCAGCUUGUUGGUGGGGUAGUGGCUUACCAAGGCUUUGACGGGUAGCCGGCCUGAGAGGGUGACCGGCCACAUUGGGACUGAGAUACGGCCCAGACUCCUACGGGAGGCAGCAGUGGGGAAUAUUGCACAAUGGGCGGAAGCCUGAUGCAGCAACGCCGCGUGCGGGAUGACGGCCUUCGGGUUGUAAACCGCUUUCGCCUGUGACGAAGCGUGAGUGACGGUAAUGGGUAAAGAAGAACCGGCUAACUACGUG
rnacentral:rRNA from 1 species